GCCGCAAUAGCUCAGUUGGUAGAGCAAGGGACUGAAAAUCCCUGUGUCCUUGGUUCAAUUCAGAGUUGCGGCA
rnacentral:tRNA from 1 species